AAGAGUUUCUUGAGGGUGGAAGACAUGAAGUAAGGCCUCUCGGCCGAGCCGUCAUUCCUCUCCAGGUCCUCCACUGUGGAGAGAGCAGGAAGAAGGCAUUCCUGGCCGAGGUGCAGAAAUUGGUGCCGUAGAUGGCAAUCUGGACAGGCACCAGAAGCAGCAUUUGAGACAGGUCAUGAGGCACUUGGCAAACUUGUUCUCUGCAGCUGGAAGAGAAGGGAAGGGAU
rnacentral:lncRNA from 1 species